GUCCCAGCCGCCGCGGUAAUACGGAGGGUGCAAGCGUUGUUCGGAAUUAUUGGGCGUAAAGCGCGUGUAGGCGGUCUUUUAAGUCUGAUGUGAAAGCCCCGGGCUCAACCUGGGAAGUGCAUUGGAAACUGGGAGGCUUGAGUACGGGAGAGGAGAGUGGAAUUCCUAGUGUAGGAGUGAAAUCCGUAGAUAUUAGGAGGAACACCGGUGGCGAAGGCGGCUCUCUGGACCGAUACUGACGCUGAGACGCGAAAGCGUGGGUAGCAAACAGGAUUAGAUACCCUGGUAGUCCACGCCGUAAACGAUGAGUACUAGGUGUUGCGGGUAUUGACCCCUGCAGUGCCGUAGCUAACGCAUUAAGUACUCCGCCUGGGAAGUACGGUCGCAAGACUAAAACUCAAAGGAAUUGGCGGGGGCCCGCACAAGCGGUGGAGCAUGUGGUUUAAUUCGACGCAACGCGCAGAACCUUACCUGGGCUUGACAUCCACGGAACCCUCCCGAAACGGAGGGGUGCCCUUCGGGGAGCCGUGAGACAGGUGCUGCAUGGCUGUCGUCAGCUCGUGUCGUGAGAUGUUGGGUUAAGUCCCGCAACGAGCGCAACCCUUGUCAUCAGUUGCCAUCAUUCAGUUGGGCACUCUGAUGAAACUGCCGGUGUCAAACCGGAGGAAGGUGGGGAUGACGUCAAGUCCUCAUGGCCCUUAUGUCCAGGGCUACACACGUGCUACAAUGGCCGGUACAAAGAGUAGCAAUACCGCGAGGUGGAGCCAAUCUCAGAAAGCCGGUCUCAGUUCGGAUUGGNNUCUGCAACUCGACUCCAUGAAGUCGNAAUCGCUAGUAAUCGCGGAUCAGCAUGCCGCGGNGAAUACGUUCCCGGGCCUUGUACACACCGCCCGUCACACC
rnacentral:rRNA from 1 species